AAAUAAAACAAUAAAAGAGCAGAAUAAGAUCAUAUUUGAAAAAGACAUGUUUAUUUGUGCAGAAAAUUCCAUAAGAACAUAUGUCAUUAUGUUUGCCUUCCACUACACCCAGCACAUGCAGACACAAAAUCUACUUGCAUUUAGAAAGAAUUGGCCUUCAAUAAGUUAGGAAAAAAUUGCUAAAUGGAAUACUUCUUUAAUUGUUUUCAUAUGUUAUGAGUAGAAGAAUGAUUGACAGAAUGUCUAUGAAAUCUAUGUACUUUGAGAUAUUGGCAAGAGAAGCCCAUUUCCUGCUUAGUGACUUAGCCAACCACUAUUUUUUCCAUGUUAUAUUUUCCAGAGUGCUGCUAUUCAGCACAAAAAUUCAAGUUUGGAUUCAAUAUGUAUUUCGUGUGCAAUAGCGUUGUCCUAUUUUUUUAUUCAGGGAUGACAAUUCAAAUACUGUAACAGAAACUGAGAAAACUAAUAAGCCAAAUGUAGGCCAUAAAUCCUGAAUUUAAAAUAAUUUCUAUCUCAAGUACAUUGUCAUUAUGAGCACAAUAGAAAGGGAAAAAAGGAACCUGAAAUCAAG
rnacentral:misc_RNA from 1 species